UGGGGAAUAUUGGACAAUGGGGGCAACCCUGAUCCAGCCAUGCCGCGUGAAUGAUGAAGGCCUUCGGGUUGUAAAGUUCUUUUGGUGGGGACGAUGAUGACGGUACCCACAGAAUAAGCUCCGGCUAACUUCGUGCCAGCAGCCGCGGUAAUACGAAGGGGGCUAGCGUUGUUCGGAAUUACUGGGCGUAAAGGGCGCGUAGGCGGUUUGACAAGUUGGGUGUGAAAGCCCAGGGCUCAACCCUGGAACUGCACUCAAGACUGUUUUACUUGAAUUCGGUAGAGGUUGGUGGAAUUCCCAGUGUAGAGGUGAAAUUCGUAGAUAUUGGGAAGAACACCCGUGGCGAAGGCGGCCAACUGGACCGACAUUGACGCUGAGGCGCGAAAGCGUGGGGAGCAAACA
rnacentral:rRNA from 1 species